GACUUCAUGGUGUAGUUGGUUAUCACAUCUGUCUCACACACAGGAGGUCUCCAGUUCGAUUCUGGGUGAAGUCA
rfam:Plasmodiophora brassicae isolate e3 genome assembly, contig: scaffold_4